AACGAACGCUGGCGGCAGGCUUAACACAUGCAAGUCGAGCGCCCCGCAAGGGGAGCGGCAGACGGGUGAGUAACGCGUGGGAAUCUACCCAUCUCUACGGAAUAACGCAUGGAAACGUGUGCUAAUACCGUAUACGUCCUUCGGGAGAAAGAUUUAUAGGAGAUGGAUGAGGCCGCGUUGGAUUAGCUAGUUGGUGGGGUAAAGGCCUACCAAGGCGACGAUCCAUAGCUGGUCUGAGAGGAUGAUCAGCCACACUGGGACUGAGACACGGCCCAGACUCCUACGGGAGGCAGCAGUGGGGAAUAUUGGACAAUGGGCGCAAGCCUGAUCCAGCCAUGCCGCGUGAGUGAUGAAGGCCCUAGGGUUGUAAAGCUCUUUCACCGGUGAAGAUAAUGACGGUAACCGGAGAAGAAGCCCCGGCUAACUUCGUGCCAGCAGCCGCCGUAAAAC
rnacentral:rRNA from 1 species